GUAAAUUUGAGCAAUAUGUACAUGUGUAUGUACGCAGACCUAUUUGGAACACUGUACUGGGUUAAAGUUGAAUUUUCUUAAAUUCAGAUAGUAUUGCACGAUCAGAAGCAACUGGAACUGGAAAAGGAAAAUCAAAAUGUCUCUUUAUUUUCGAACGACAUUUUAUAUUGAUAAUGUGGGAUAUUAUUAAUUUAGAAACAAAAAUACGCUUCGUACUGAUGUAAAUACAUUUGUAUGAUGUAUGUACAUGUAUUUCUUAAAUUACAAAUGCAUGUAUGUACAUACAAAUGUUAAAGUUAUGCAUAGAGUGGAAAUGUGUAAAAUUGUAUCACUCUAAAUGUACAUACAGAUAUGUAUAUACAUAUGUAUGAUUGCUAGGCUAGGCGAUAGUGAAAAAAUAUGAGUAACACCACCACCCAAAAUUACAACCCAUGUGCAGAAAAUCGAUAUUCUAGUCAAACUACAUGUACAUAUCAGCUUGUAGUGUCUACCUCGUGCUUACGUAGAAAAAUGAAUUUUUUUAAGUGCAAUAUAAAUAAAUAUAUCUACACAUAUGCAUAAAUAUGGUUGGAUUGUUACAUUCUUGUAUACAACAGAGUGAUAUUUAACCUAUUGCUUUUUUAGCCUAAAUUGGUUGCUCACUGUGUGGUAGGCUAGACAAUUAUUUAAUAUCUUUCUUUCUUUUUGUUUUUGCUGAAUUUGUGUACAUAUAUGCGUACAUGCAUAUGUACAUACAUGUGUACAUAUGUAUGUGUGAACUUGUGGAUACUAUUUUCGGAGGCUAGAUUCAACGUUUUGUAAUGAUCGAUGGUAAAACUGGAUAAUUAACAAUGCAUCUUGUUCGUAGUAACUUUUUCCAACGUGAUGAGUAUUUGAGAUCGCCUUCAACAAAGAUUGGAGUCCAACAACAGAAUUUCCAUACGUCGUACAGGAGCUAUCACACCAACAUGAAAGACGCGCAAGCUGAAAAAAAUGUAAAUAAUACAUUGGUUAAGCAUAACCAAAAUGUAACAUUUGUCCGGAGUAGUGGAAUCACUAAUGGAGCUGUUUUUCAUGAGAAUGUUAUUGAAAAUGAGUGGAACUUCCCUCCAAAGGUGCCAGCUCCGCACAUCUACCAUUGCAUUAACCCAGUAAGUCAGAAAAUUAAUGAAAUCUAGCUUCGGUGCACCGAAGUGCAUAUAACUUUGAAAAAUUGUGGAUUUGUUAUCUAUUCCGAUCGUUUUUAUAACUAUAACUAUGAUUUGAAUGUGUUUUGGAACCUCGAAAGAACCUCAUUACGAGGAUUUUAACGUUGCCCUGUUGAUGUCUAGAUGUAAAUAUCGGGGACUACUCAAGCGGCAGCACCCUUUGGUCGGUUGGGAUGUGUCUCUAACUAGGAACUGACUGGGCUUGGUGGCGCAUGGGCCCCUUGAUGGUUCAGUCAUUGUAACUGACGUUAUCAGAUGCUUUUAGAGCGUCUCUCACUGUCUUUCGUUCUCUCUAGUAGGGUAGCUUAAUAAUAAAGUGUGGGGUUUCAUUGCAUGUACAUACAUACAAUGAAAUUAAAAUUUACAUACAUAUGUACAUAUGGCAAAAAUUAAUUUUAAUGUUUCUUUAUUUUUUCAGGACUUACUGGUGGGAAGUGAUAAGAACGGCUUCAAAGGACUCCGUAAGCAAUUUAGUGGGCGAUUUAAGCGCUUAGUUACUCGAAAAGUAGAGCACGGCCCAGUGAUACCCCCGGAAUUAAAGCCACAAUUAAAAACAAUUUACGUUUACUAAUUUUAGAAGAAUCACUAUUUGCGUAUAUACAAUAUGUAUGUAUAAAUGUACUUGUAUGUAUUUUUAUAUAUUGUAGAAAACUUUAGUGAUAAUAAAAGCAAGAUAAACUAAGCUACCUUGUUAAUUGACAUUUCUAAUUAUUAAGUUCAUCAUGCUUAAUUAGUUUCAUUUUCGUAUAUUUUAUUAUACAUCUCAUAUUUUCCAAAGCUUUUUAGAUUUUAUAAAAGAAAAUAGUUAAAUCCAACAAACGCCUUUUUA
rnacentral:lncRNA from 1 species